GGAUCUGGCCACAACCUCUGUCACCCCAUUGAUACCAGGGUUGAUUGGGCUGAUCUGGCUGGCUAGGCCGGUACAUCCCUCCCUCAGCUGCAUGUGCUUGAAGAGGACUACCAUCCCCAGUUGAGGAGGACCAGUCUUCCAUCAAGGGUAUAUGAGUAACUGUGCUCCCCUGCUAGAACCUCCAAACAAGCUCUCAAAGAACACAAUCAGCUAAGUUACUCUUACAAAAGAAAGAGAUCAAGGGCUGGGAAUGUAGCUUGCUUAGCAUU
rnacentral:snRNA from 1 species